rnacentral:rRNA from 1 species
GGUUAAGUUAGAAAGGGCGCACGGUGGAUGCCUUGGCACUAGGAGCCGAUGAAGGACGGGACGAACACCGAUAUGCUUCGGGGAGCUGUAAGCAAGCUUUGAUCCGGAGAUUUCCGAAUGGGGAAACCCACCACUCGUAAUGGAGUGGUAUCCAUAUCUGAAUACAUAGGAUAUGAGAAGGCAGACCCGGGGAACUGAAACAUCUAAGUACCCGGAGGAAGAGAAAGCAAAUGCGAUUCCCUGAGUAGCGGCGAGCGAAACGGGACCAGCCCAAACCAAGAGGCUUGCCUCUUGGGGUUGUAGGACACUCUGUACGGAGUUACAAAGGAACGAGGUAGAUGAAGAGGUCUGGAAAGGCCCGCCAUAGGAGGUAACAGCCCUGUAGUCAAAACUUCGUUCUCUCCUGAGUGGAUCCUGAGUACGGCGGAACACGUGAAAUUCCGUCGGAAUCCGGGAGGACCAUCUCCCAAGGCUAAAUACUCCCUAGUGACCGAUAGUGAACCAGUACCGUGAGGGAAAGGUGAAAAGCACCCCGGAAGGGGAGUGAAAGAGAUCCUGAAACCGUGUGCCUACAAGUAGUCAGAGCCCGUUAACGGGUGAUGGCGUGCCUUUUGUAGAAUGAACCGGCGAGUUACGAUCCCGUGCAAGGUUAAGCAGAAGAUGCGGAGCCGCAGCGAAAGCGAGUCUGAAUAGGGCGAAUUGAGUACGUGGUCGUAGACCCGAAACCAGGUGAUCUACCCAUGUCCAGGGUGAAGUUCAGGUAACACUGAAUGGAGGCCCGAACCCACGCACGUUGAAAAGUGCGGGGAUGAGGUGUGGGUAGGGGUGAAAUGCCAAUCGAACCUGGAGAUAGCUGGUUCUCUCCGAAAUAGCUUUAGGGCUAGCCUCAAGGUAAGAGUCUCGGAGGUAGAGCACUGAUUGGACUAGGGGCCCUACCGGGUUACCGAAUUCAGUCAAACUCCGAAUGCCGAUGACUUAUCCUUGGGAGUCAGACUGCGAGUGAUAAGAUCCGUAGUCGAAAGGGAAACAGCCCAGACCGCCAGCUAAGGUCCCAAAGUAUACGUUAAGUGGAAAAGGAUGUGGAGUUGCUUAGACAACCAGGAUGUUGGCUUAGAAGCAGCCACCAUUUAAAGAGUGCGUAAUAGCUCACUGGUCGAGUGACUCUGCGCCGAAAAUGUACCGGGGCUAAACGUAUCACCGAAGCUGCGGACUGUUCUUCGAACAGUGGUAGGAGAGCGUUCUAAGGGCUGUGAAGCAAGACCGGAAGGACUUGUGGAGCGCUUAGAAGUGAGAAUGCCGGUAUGAGUAGCGAAAGAGGGGUGAGAAUCCCCUCCACCGAAUGCCUAAGGUUUCCUGAGGAAGGCUCGUCCGCUCAGGGUUAGUCGGGACCUAAGCCGAGGCCGAAAGGCGUAGGCGAUGGAUAACAGGUUGAUAUUCCUGUACCACCUCCUCACCAUUUGAGCAAUGGGGGGACGCAGGAGGAUAGGGUAAGCGCGGUAUUGGAUAUCCGCGUCCAAGCAGUUAGGCUGGGAAAUAGGCAAAUCCGUUUCCCGUGAAGGCUGAGCUGUGAUGGCGAGCGAAUUAUAGUAGCGAAGUUCCUGAUUCCACACUGCCAAGAAAAGCCUCUAGCGAGGUGAGAGGUGCCCGUACCGCAAACCGACACAGGUAGGCGAGGAGAGAAUCCUAAGGUGAUCGAGAGAACUCUCGUUAAGGAACUCGGCAAAAUGACCCGUAACUUCGGGAGAAGGGGUGCUCUGUUAGGGUGAAAGCCCGAGAGAGCCGCAGUGAAUAGGCCCAGGCGACUGUUUAGCAAAAACACAGGUCUCUGCGAAGCCGUAAGGCGAAGUAUAGGGGCUGACGCCUGCCGGUGCUGGAAGGUUAAGAGGAGCGCUUAGCGUAAGCGAAGGUGCGAAUUGAAGCCCCAGUAAACGGCGGCCGUAACUAUAACGGUCCUAAGGUAGCGAAAUUCCUUGUCGGGUAAGUUCCGACCCGCACGAAAGGCGCAACGAUCUGGGCACUGUCUCAACGAGAGACUCGGUGAAAUUAUAGUACCUGUGAAGAUGCAGGUUACCCGCGACAGGACGGAAAGACCCGUGGAGCUUUACUGCAGCCUGAUAUUGAAUGUUGGUACAGCUUGUACAGGAUAGGUAGGAGCCUUGGAAACCGGAGCGCCAGCUUCGGUGGAGGCAUCGGUGGGAUACUACCCUGGCUGUAUUGACCUUCUAACCCGCCGCCCUUAUCGGGCGGGGAGACAGUGUCAGGUGGGCAGUUUGACUGGGGCGGUCGCCUCCUAAAAGGUAACGGAGGCGCCCAAAGGUUCCCUCAGAAUGGUUGGAAAUCAUUCGCAGAGUGUAAAGGCACAAGGGAGCUUGACUGCGAGACCUACAAGUCGAGCAGGGACGAAAGUCGGGCUUAGUGAUCCGGUGGUUCCGCAUGGAAGGGCCAUCGCUCAACGGAUAAAAGCUACCCCGGGGAUAACAGGCUUAUCUCCCCCAAGAGUCCACAUCGACGGGGAGGUUUGGCACCUCGAUGUCGGCUCAUCGCAUCCUGGGGCUGUAGUCGGUCCCAAGGGUUGGGCUGUUCGCCCAUUAAAGCGGUACGCGAGCUGGGUUCAGAACGUCGUGAGACAGUUCGGUCCCUAUCCGUCGCGGGCGCAGGAAAUUUGAGAGGAGCUGUCCUUAGUACGAGAGGACCGGGAUGGACGCACCGCUGGUGUACCAGUUGUUCUGCCAAGGGCAUCGCUGGGUAGCUAUGUGCGGACGGGAUAAGUGCUGAAAGCAUCUAAGCAUGAAGCCCCCCUCAAGAUGAGAUUUCCCAUUCCGCAAGGAAGUAAGAUCCCUGAAAGAUGAUCAGGUUGAUAGGUCUGAGGUGGAAGUGUGGCGACACAUGGAGCUGACAGAUACUAAUCGAUCGAGGACUUAACCAA